rnacentral:rRNA from 1 species
GACGAACCGUGCGAACGUUAUUCGGAAUCACUGGGCUUAAAGGGCGCGUAGGCGGGCUGUCAAGUCUGGGGUGAAAUCCCCGCGGCUCAACCGUGGAACUGCCUUAGAUACUGACGGCCUCGAGGAAGGUAGGGGCAUGCGGAACUGUAGGUGGAGCGGUGAAAUGCGUUGAUAUCUACAGGAACUCCGGUGGCGAAAGCGGCGUGCUGGACCUUUUCUGACGCUGAGGCGCGAAAGCUAGGGGAGCAAACGGGG